rnacentral:rRNA from 1 species
GUGGGGAAUAUUGGGCAAUGGGGGAAACCCUGACCCAGCAACGCCGCGUGAGGGAAGAAGGUUUUCGGAUUGUAAACCUCUGUCCUUGGUGACGAAGGAAGUGACGGUAACCAAGGAGGAAGCCCCGGCUAACUACGUGCCAGCAGCCGCGGUAAUACGUAGGGGGCAAGCGUUGUCCGGAAUGACUGGGCGUAAAGGGCGUGUAGGCGGCCGAUUAAGUCUGGAGUGAAAGUCCUGCUUUCAAGGUGGGAAUUGCUUUGGAGACUGGUUGGCUUGAGUGCGGAAGAGGUAAGUGGAAUGCCCAGUGUAGCGGUGAAAUGCGUAGAGAUUGGGAGGAACACCAGUGGCGAAGGCGACUUACUGGGCUGUAACUGACGCUGAGGCGCGAAAGCGUGGGGAGCGAACAGGAUUAGAAACCCCAGUAGUCC